GCAUUCAUGGGCAGCAUUUAACCAGUUACACUUAGUGGUAUCACAGAACUGUCACCCAGACUCCAUCCUACAUUCUAUGACCCCAGGAAGAGUAUCAUUUUCUUCUUCUUUGAGACCCUUUUACCCACGCCCCUCCAUCAUUAGUAGCAGCAGCUGUUGCUAAUAAACAUCCAAUAGCUGUUUCCUUUCACAUGCUAAAGCUUUCUUAUGGCAUAGACUCUAAGGAAUGGGAGUGGUGAAUUCUCCUUUCAGCCCGAGGCACAGAAGUCCAGAGGGGGAAGACAAUAAGUAAAAUUUGUCUUCCUCUGUAACUAAUUUUGCCAUCAACCCAACUUGUGUUUGGACACUGCUUUUAUGUGAUAAUCAGAUGGGGCCUGAUCCUGUACCUCUGACGUCAAUGGGAGUUUUAUUAUGGACAUCAUUAGGAACAGGAUCAUGCACUAACUGAAAGCAAAUACUUUACACUUUUCAUCUGCUCCAAUCAUUUGCUCUUCCCUGGAAUGAUCUAGCCACAGACGCAUUUAGCAUUAGAGAAAAGAAAUUGGAAAGACUGCAUUACAGUGUUUGUCUUACAUCACUAAAUAUUUCACAUAAUGGAUAUUUGGAAGCUUAGAUGACAACCAACCAUAAAACUUCAUGGGGAGUCUACUGGUAUAUUAUAUCACAUUCUAUGGCUACAUCAUCUUUUUUUUUUAAAUUUAACUUUCAAUAGCAUAUGAAACAACAAAAUUGCCUGGAACAAGAGCUUUAGUUUGAUUUUUGGAUUCACUUUGUUCUAUAACAUGUUUUUAACCUAGUUGUGUAGUUAAAAGGUUUAAAUAUAGUUUGCUACAUUUUGAUUCGUGGCCAAAAUGUUUCGACUAGCUCCUAAAGAAGCCCAAUUGAGUUAACAUUUGUCAAAUAUUUUGCAAUCUUGAAAGGGAAGGAAGGUUCUUUGUAAGUGCAAAAUCUAUAUUUAUAAUAUUUAAUUACUGCUGUUCUAUGAUUAUCGAGCAGCCAAAUAAAAUCCACCAGCCCCCGCCCCCCAAAUUAAUAGGUUACGGCUGUGCCUGUAACAUAACUUUUCAACAAAUUGAAGUAAACUGGAGAAGGGAUUCUUGAAUAAUAGCAAUCCAAAUAGAGACAUGACCAUGAGGCUCCACAGAUUCUUCUAACUUAUUUUUGCAACUCUGUCAAAAACAAAACAAAUGGUAGAAGAGAAAUAGCAUAGUUUACUGGGCUCAUCUACUCAAGAGCUAAUGCACAGAACCAAAGUUUUGUUGCUCACAGUCCAAUUUUUAAAGUAACUAAGAUUUAAACUGGCUCUCCCAAAUUACACAUGGGCUCUGGUGAUCUAACUGAUCCUCUCCCGCAGCUCCAGGGAUCCUGCACCGACUGAAACAGAUGAGUUAAAAUAAGUUCUUCAGAACAGUCAUGAGCAAUUAAUUAAUUCCAUGGCUGGUGGGAGCAGUAAGAUGGGGACAAUGCUCUCUUCUCCCACCUUAGAAAAUAUGUAGGAGGGAAGGAUAACGACCCUUCCUGCAUUAGGAGACUGUAGCAGGGCGAUCACCCCGCUCCAGCUAAAAAGGGGUUAAGAGCCAGCCCUUGGAGAAGGCAGGAGCUGAGAGAAAAGGCUAGGCAGAUUGGUGAAACAGCCACAGCUGGCCCUAUAAAAGGGCUGUGAGCCAGGUGCUCACCCCUACACUCUCUCUAGCUUAUGAGAGAGAAGGACCUGGCUGCCUGGGAGCUGAGAAGGGUACCUGAGGUGGAGCAGUGCUAGAGAAGGGCAGAGGGAG